rnacentral:rRNA from 1 species
CCCUUAGAUGUUCUGGGCCGCACGCGCGCUACACUGACGAAGUCAGCGAGCAUGUCCUACGCCGACAGGUGCGGGGAAUCUUGUCAAACUUCGUCGUGAUGGGGAUUGAUUAUUGAAAUUCUUGAUCAUCAACGAGGAAUUCCUAGUAAGCGCAAGUCAGCAGCUUGCGUUGAUUACGUCCAUGCCCUUUGUACACACCGCCCGUCGCUACUACCGAUUGAAUGGUUUAGUGAGAUCUUCGGAUUGGCGCCACUGCGGCUCAGCAAUGGGCUCGGUGGAUGCCGAAAAGUUGAUCAAACUUGAUCAUUUAGAGGAAGUAAAAGUCGUAACA